rnacentral:rRNA from 1 species
AACGAACGCUGGCGGCAUGCCUAACACAUGCAAGUCGAACGAAGGCUUCGGCCUUAGUGGCGCACGGGUGAGUAACGCGUGGGAAACUGCCUAUUGGUGGGGAAUAACGACGGGAAACUGUCGCUAAUACCGCAUAAGCCCUUCGGGGGAAAGACUUAUCGCCGACAGAUGUGCCCGCGUCCGAUUAGCUAGUUGGUGAGGUAAUGGCUCACCAAGGCGACGAUCGGUAGCUGGUCUGAGAGGAUGAUCAGCCACACUGGGACUGAGACACGGCCCAGACUCCUACGGGAGGCAGCAGUGGGGAAUAUUGGACAAUGGGCGAGAGCCUGAUCCAGCAAUGCCGCGUGAGUGAUGAAGGCCUUAGGGUUGUAAAGCUCUUUCGGGUGGGACGAUGAUGACGGUACCACCAGAAGAAGCCCCGGCUAACUUCGUGCCAGCCGCCGCCGUAA